UACGAACCGUCCGAACGUUAUCCGGAAUCAUUGGGUUUAAAGGGUCCGUAGGCGGGAUAAUAAGUCAGUGGUGAAAGUCUGCAGCUCAACUGUAGAACUGCCAUUGAAACUGUUUUCCUUGAGUCAUUAUGAAGUGGUUAGAAUAUGUAGUGUAGCGGUGAAAUGCAUAGAUAUUACAUAGAACACCGAUUGCGAAGGCAGAUCACUAACAAUUUACUGACGCUGAUGGACGAAAGCGUAGGUAGCGAACAGG
rnacentral:misc_RNA from 1 species